CUGCUGCCUCCCGUAGGAGUCUGGGCCGUGUCUCAGUCCCAAUGUGGCCGUCCGCCCCCUCAGGCCGGCUACUGAUCGUCGCCUUGGUGGGCCGUUGCCCCGCCAACAAGCUAAUCAGACGCGGGCCCAUCCUGCACCGCCGGAGCUUCCCCCGCCGCCCCAUGCGGGGCUGCGGGCAUAUGCGGUAUUAGCAGCCGUUUCCGGCUGUUGUCCCCCAGUGCAGGGCAGGUUGCCCACGCGUUACUCACCCGUCCGCCA
rnacentral:rRNA from 1 species